AAAUGCAAAUCACCUAGCCAAAAGAAAUUGAACGAUGCAGAGAAGAUUAGCACGGCCCCUACGCAAGGAUGACACACAUGAAUCCAAAAAUGGUCCAAAUUUUA